GAUGAACGCUGGCGGCGUGCUUAACACAUGCAAGUCGAACGGAGUGCUCAUGACGGAGGAUUCGUCCAACGGAUUGAGUUACUUAGUGGCGGACGGGUGAGUAACGCGUGAGUAACCUGCCUUGGAGUGGGGAAUAACACAGAGAAAUUUGUGCUAAUACCGCAUAAUGCAGUUGUGCCGCAUGGUACUGACUGCCAAAGAUUUAUCGCUCUAAGAUGGACUCGCGUCUGAUUAGCUAGUUGGCGGGGUAACGGCCCACCAAGGCGACGAUCAGUAGCCGGACUGAGAGGUUGGCCGGCCACAUUGGGACUGAGACACGGCCCAG
rnacentral:rRNA from 1 species